CCUACGGGAGGCAGCAGUGAGGAAUAUUGGUCAAUGGGCGCAAGCCUGAACCAGCCAAGUCGCGUGAGGGAUGACGGUCCUAUGGAUUGUAAACCUCUUUUGUCGGGGAGCAAGGCCGGCCACGUGUGGCGGGAAGGAGAGUACCCGAAGAAAAAGCAUAGGCUAACUCCGUGCCAGCAGCCGCGGUAAUACGGAGGAUGCGAGCGUUAUCCGGAUUUAUUGGGGUUAAAGGGUGCGUAGGCGGAAGGUUAAGUCAGCGGUCAAAUGUCGGUGCUCAACACCGGCCUGCCGUUGAAACUGGUCGUCUUGAGUGAGCGAGAAGCAUGCGGGAUGCGUGGUGUAGCGGUGAAAUGCAUAGAUAUAACGCAGAACGCCGAUUGCGAAGGCAGCAUACCGGCGCUCAACUGACGCUGAGGCACGAAAGCGUGGGGAUCGAACAGGAUUAGAUACCCUGGUAGUC
rnacentral:rRNA from 1 species